rnacentral:lncRNA from 1 species
AUUUUAUUUUCUCUCACUUCUGAGGAAGAGUGCUAAACAGCAACACCAAAUAUUUUUGAAUUUACAGAUAAUUCUCAGUCAAGAAUAUUACUUGUCUGUGGAGCUGUCUGUACUAAUCCUCUUUUUUUUUUUUUUUUUAGUAAAGCUAAAUAUUCUAAGACAGUUCCAGAAGUGUGAAGAAAUAGUCAUUGCCCAACAUAACAUACACAGGUUUGUGGAGCAAGCAGCUGUUCAUUUGUUUUGUCAGUAAUGGAAGGAAGACUUGAACAGCUGAUGACAGGACUGAGCCUGGAAUACAAGGAUGAGACAACCUGGCAUGCCCUGAGGUGGCCUGGAGCACUGACCUUCUUCCCAAGGACUGCCAGAGCUACUGUGCUGAAGUUCAAACUUUUUAUGGACUAGUGAUUUUCCUGUGUUACUGCCAGCAAUCUUAAACACUCUGGAUAUUCUGGCUGCAAAUCAAGCUGUCUGUGUAAAUGUAAGUAACGUCUCUGCCCAAGUAUUCCUUACCCCACAGGGUUAAAAUAAUAAGUGUAUCAAAAUUGGAGGUGUUCUGGUACCAUGGUAAUAGAGUCAUGUCAAAUAUGGAACCAUGUAAAGUGUAAAAUUUUU